rnacentral:rRNA from 1 species
UACGUAGGGGGCAAGCGUUGUCCGGAUUUACUGGGCGUAAAGAGCGCGCAGGCGGUCGUUCAAGUCGAGUGUGAAAGCCCCCGGCUCAACUGGGGAGGGUCAUUCGAUACUGAUCGACUCGAAGGCAGGAGAGGGUAGUGGAAUUCCCGGUGUAGCGGUGAAAUGCGCAGAUAUCGGGAGGAACACCAAUGGCGAAGGCAGCUCGCUGGGACGGUACUGACGCUGAGACGCGAAAGCGUGGGGAGCAAACAGG